AACGAACGCUGGCGGCAUGCCUAACACGUGCAAGUCGAACGAUGCCUUCGGGCAUAGUGGCGCACGGGUGCGUAACGCGUGGGAAUCUACCCUUGGGUUCGGAAUAACAGUUAGAAAUGACUGCUAAUACCGGAUGAUGACUUCGGUCCAAAGAUUUAUCGCCCAAGGAUGAGCCCGCGUAGGAUUAGCUUGUUGGUGAGGUAAAGGCUCACCAAGGCGACGAUCCUUAGCUGGUCUGAGAGGAUGAUCAGCCACACUGGGACUGAGACACGGCCCAGACUCCUACGGGAGGCAGCAGUGGGGAAUAUUGGACAAUGGGCGAAAGCCUGAUCCAGCAAUGCCGCGUGAGUGAUGAAGGCCUUAGGGUUGUAAAGCUCUUUUACCCGGGAUGAUAAUGACAGUACCGGGAGAAUAAGACCCGGCUAACUCCGUGCCAGCCGCCGCGGUAA
rnacentral:rRNA from 1 species